GCCAUGUGAUGAUACCAAGGCUAUUGUUACUUGGCUGGUCUGGUUGAGCUCUAGGACCCUGACCUUACAUCCAGGUCUGUAAUCUUGGUGGGCAAUACAGAGCUGUGUUUGUUUGCUGUAAGGGCAGACCAACAGGAAGUGCCACCUCUUGCUCCUGUCUUCCCCUAAGGGGAGAGUUCCUGGCUGCCACUGAAAGAUCCUGGUAGCUAGAAUAGGGCAGAGGUAACAGGACAAGCCUAAGCUAUUGAGGUCAAGGGUCCCAGAAGGCUUAGCUUUUGUUAUAGCCACCAAGAGAUGAGCACAGAUCUUUGGUAAUCUGAUGGCU